GCCAGAGACACUAGCAGAGGUAACACAGCAAUCUGUUUGUUGUUUAGACAGAGCAGAGAGGGUAAGGACGCCGAGGAUAGUUCAUUUAACCUGCCAGUGUCCUCGGGGGAGACAGAUGUUUUUGGGAACAAGAGCCAGAGAAGCAAGAACCUCGGCACAAGGCCAGACUGUCCUGUCCACAUCAGUAGUUAAGAGACUCGACCCCUAGCACUCAGGUUCCUGAGGCUGACAGAUGAGGGGCUGCCAUCAGCAACACAGAGCCUCAGGACCGCUGGACCCCAGCCUGGUCUCCGUGAAGCACCAAAGUCAGCCAUCCUGUGAUUCAUCCAAAUGGAAGCCCAGACAGUCGGGGAGUCUGUGACUCACAGUAUCCUUGUGAGAAGUGGGCCUGGACACGGUACUACCCGGCGGAUUCAGCCUAGGCUCAAGCUUUUCCGCAAAGCCCUUCUACACGUCUGACACCCCUGCUAAAGGAAUUGAAAGAAACUGGAAAAUUCUUGCCAGUGCCUUAGAAAUCACACUCCAAUGGCCAAGAAGCCCAGUGUCCACCAGCUCUGGGCACCCCAGUCCUGCAGGUGGAUUCUUUACCAUCUGAGAAUUUCUACAUGAUCCAACAAUUCUGCUUGUGGAUAGAUACCCAAAAGCAAUGAAAACAA
ensembl:lncRNA